UACAGAGGCCUCGAGCGUUAGGCGGAAUCACUGGGCUUAAAGCGUGUGUAGGCGGAUCGUUAAGUACCUUGUGAAAUCCCACGGCUCAACCCGUGGAACUGCUGGUAUACUGGCGGUCUUGGUGCCAACCUAGGGGCAGCGGAACAGCGGUGGAGCGGUGAAAUGCGUAGAUAUCGCUUGGAACGCCGAAGGUGAAAACAGGCUGCUGG
rnacentral:rRNA from 1 species